rnacentral:misc_RNA from 1 species
UACGGAGGGUGCAAGCGUUAAUCGGAAUUACUGGGCGUAAAGCGCGCGUAGGUGGCUUGAUAAGCCGGUUGUGAAAGCCCCGGGCUCAACCUGGGGACGGCAUCCGGAACUGGCAAGCUAGAGUACAGGAGGGGAAGGUAGAAUCCCCGGUGUAGCGGUGAGAUGCGUAGAGAUCGGGAGGAAUACCAGUGGCGAAGGCGGCCUUCUGGACUGACACUGACGCUGAGGUGCGAAAGCGUGGGGAGCAAACAGG